rnacentral:rRNA from 1 species
UACGGAGGGAGCUAGCGUUGUUCGGAUUUACUGGGCGGAAAGUGCGCGUCGGCGGCACUGCAAGUCGACUGUGAAAUCUCCGGGCUUAACCCGGAAAGGUCAGCCGAUACUGCGGGGCUAGAGUGCAGAAGGGGCAACUGGAAUUCUCGGUGUAGCGGUGAAAUGCGUAGAUAUCGAGAGGAACACCUGCGGCGAAGGCGGGUUGCUGGGCUGACACUGACGCUGAUGCGCGAAAGCUAGGGGAGCGAACGGG